GAUGAAGAACGCAGCGAAAUGCGAUAAGUAAUGUGAAUUGCAGAAUUCAGUGAAUCAUCGAAUCUUUGAACGCACCUUGCGCCCUUUGGCUAUUCCAGAGGGCAUGCCUGUUUGAGUAUCAUGAACACCUCAACUCUCAUGGUUCUGCCAUGAUGAGCUUGGACUUUGGAGGUCUUGCUGGCCCCUGUGGUCAGCUCCUCUCAAAUGGAUCAGCUUGCCAGUGUUUGGUGGCAUCACAGGUGUGAUAACUAUCUACGCUUGUGGUUUUCCACCAGGUAACCUUCAGUGAUGGAGGUUCGCUGGAGCUCAUAAACGUCUCUCCUCAGCGAGGACAGCUUCUUGAACGUUUGAUCUCAAAUCAGGUAGGGCUACCCGCUGAACUUAAGCAUAUCAAUAGCGGAGGA
rnacentral:misc_RNA from 1 species